GACGAAGGUGGCAAGCGUUGUUCGGUAUCACUGGGCUUAAAGGGUGUGUAGGCGGGAAAGUAAGCAUUUUGUGAAAGCCCCCGGCUUAACCGGGGAAUUGCCAAAUGUACUGCUUUUCUUGAGGCAAGUAGGGGUGCAUGGAACUCUUGGUGGAGCGGUGGAAUGCGUAGAUAUCAAGAGGAACGCCAGAGGUGAAAACGGUGCACUGGGCUUGUCCUGACGCUGAUACACGAAAGCGUGGGGAGCGAACGGGAUUAGAUACCCCCGUA
rnacentral:rRNA from 1 species